rnacentral:rRNA from 1 species
GAUGAACGCUGGCGGCGUGCCUAAUACAUGCAAGUCGAGCGAACAGACGAGGAUCUUGCUCCUCUUACGUUAGCGGCGGACGGGUGAGUAACACGUGGAUAACCUACCUAUAAGACUGGGAUAACUUCGGGAAACCGGAGCUAAUACCGGAUAAUAUAUUGAACCGCAUGGUUCAAUAGUGAAAGACGGUUUUGCUGUCACUUAUAGAUGGAUCCGCGCCGCAUUAGCUAGUUGGUAAGGUAACGGCUUACCAAGGCAACGAUGCGUAGCCGACCUGAGAGGGUGAUCGGUCACACUGGAACUGAGACACGGUCCAGACUCCUACGGGAGGCAGCAGUAGGGAAUAUUCCGCAAUGGGCGAAAGCUUGACGGAGCAAUGCCGCGUGAGUGAUGAAGGUCUUCGGAUCGUAAAACUCUGUUAUUAGGGAAGAACAAAUGUGUAAGUAACUAUGCACGUCUUGACGGUACCUAAUCAGAAAGCCACGGCUAACUACGUG